rnacentral:tRNA from 1 species
GCAGGUGUAAUCUAGCGGUAGGAUGUCAGCCUUCCAAGCUGACCGCCCGGGUUCGAAACCCCCGAGCCUGGC